GCCAGUGUGCUCAAUGGUUAGAGCAUUGGCCCACGGACCUAAGGGUCGUGGGUUCGAUUCCCAGUCAAGGGCA
rnacentral:tRNA from 1 species